rnacentral:rRNA from 1 species
UACGGAGGAUGCAAGCGUUAUCCGGAAUGAUUGGGCGUAAAGCGUCCGCAGGUGGCUAUGUAAGUCUGCUGUUAAAGAGUGAGGCUCAACCUCAUAAGAGCAGUGGAAACUACAUAGCUAGAGUGCGUUCGGGGCAGAGGGAAUUCCUGGUGUAGCGGUGAAAUGCGUAGAUAUCAGGAAGAACACCGGUGGCGAAGGCGGCCUCUGGACACAUAUUGACGCUGAGGCUCGAAAGCAUGGGGAGCAAACAGG